AUUGAACGCUGGCGGCAUGCCUUACACAUGCAAGUCGAACGGCAGCACGGGGCAACCUGGUGGCGAGUGGCGAACGGGUGAGUAAUGCAUCGGAACGUACCUUUCAGUGGGGGAUAACGUAGCGAAAGUUACGCUAAUACCGCAUAUUCUGUGAGCAGGAAAGCAGGGGAUCGCAAGACCUUGCGCUGAUUGAGCGGCCGAUGUCAGAUUGGCUAGUUGGUGAGCUAAAGGCUCACCAAGGCGACGAUCUGUAGCGGGUCUGAGAGGAUGAUCCGCCACACUGGAACUGAGACACGGUCCAGACUCCUACGGGAGGCAGCAGUGGGGAAUUUUGGACAAUGGGGGCAACCCUGAUCCAGCCAUGCCGCGUGAGUGAAGAAGGCCUUCGGGUUGUAAAGCUCUUUCGGCCGGGAAGAAAUCGCACGGGCUAAUACCCUGUGUGGAUGACGGUACCGGAAUAAGAAGCACCGGCUAACUACGUGCCAGCCGCCGCGGUAAUAC
rnacentral:rRNA from 1 species